rnacentral:RNase_MRP_RNA from 13 species
GCGUUCCUUCGAGCUACACCGCGGAGCCACAAUCGGAGUUCUUAGUAACUUUCAUGCUCUGAGGAAAGUCCCUGGACCGUGGGCAGAAAGUGCCGUAGCGCUAUCUGCUGCUAGCCUCCUGUCGUCUUUCUCGUCUUUGGGAUAGGAAGCUUCGGCAGAUCCUUUCGAGUUAGGGCGGGAGUGUAUUGGUCAAAUAAAAGUAAUGUGUUAGAGACGAAAAUUCUAUAAUUUAGAAUUCCGUGUCCAACUAAACAGGGCUCAUAACGAAGGGAAG